CACAGGGAGGCUCAUCAUAUGAAACACAGAGGAGGUAAGGUGAUUAAGAGGAAGUGCCCUGGAUUUCUGCUGGGCCUGUGCUGUGGAGAAUGAGAACAAGGGAGGCUUUUUGUUCUCACCUUAGGAAGCCCAGACUGUGAGGGUGCAGAUGGAGGCUGAGAUUUCCUGCCCUUGGACAGCCAGAGGCCCAAUGGACCCCCCCAGGUCCCAAGGGCUGCAGCACAGUCAGUUACUGAUCUACGAGCAAAGAAAUCCUGUUGGGAGCCAUGUGUGGUGACGGGCAAAAGAGAUUCUCUCUGUGCUCCAUGCCCAAUGGAAAAGCUGCUCUCCAGUCUCAUGUGAGGAGGAGGACUGACCCUGAACCCCACAGCACACCUGGCACACCACCCAGGACCGGCAGAGACCUUGCAAAAAACAAGCAGGUACCAGUGGGAGAUGCUGUUGGACUCCUGGGAGUUCGGUAAUUCACCCUCCCCCAGUGCCAAAGCCAGGUCAGCCUGAGGAAGUGCUGCUGACAGCACAGCUGGAAAAGAAGGCGUCAGAUUCAUGGAGAGAGGCUGGAGCAUAUCUUUGGGAAGCCAGUGCGGUAGAAUUUUUAAGAAAUUUUGGAACACUGUAGAUAAAACAACUCUAGGCUGACCCUAUUUUGACCUACUUCCUCUAAAGUUCUGCAUGUAUCAGUUCCUGUAGUCUUAUCUGUACUGAUCUGCUGCAUGGUGACAGAAGCUGUGCCCUCCCAAAGCCUUCACCCUGUCCUAGCUCGUUGACUAGGCUACACUCUGUGUAACAAUCAGCCAAACCCCAUCAGUGACUGUUCCUCAGAGUGCAGAGAACAACUGUCAAUGCAUCCAAAGAUGGAUUAAUUUUCUUUAGAAAGUUCAAGGAAGAUUCUGGAACUACGUUUAAGUAACAAGGAAAAUAAGUUGCUGCAUUACAGCAUUCACAAAAACCACACUGCUCAAAGGGAGCGAUAAAUUCGUGACUGUGUAGUAUCCUGUAUGAGUUUCUCAUGCCAUGCUGAAAACUGGAACUGAGUCUUACCACUUAUUGGGAUAACAAGGGGUUAAACUUAUGGAUUUAAAAUGCUUCUGUCUACUAAACCCAAAGCAGUCAUUUAUCAGAGCAUCCCCCGAACUUCGCACAUGAACUCCCCUCUCCUUGUGAAGAGUCCUCAAAUUCCACAUGAGGUGUGAGCAUGAAUAACUGCAGGAGGCGCAAGCAGUGCUCAUUUACAGAACUGCCUCUCUAAGGAAGGAGCCUUUCGUUUACCUCUCCUUGAAGCCACUUUGACCGAACAGGAGUAGCUACAGUGUUCACUGGGACACAGCAACUCUGGAACAGCUUUCCAGUGAAGGACAUGAAUCCCACCUUCUUUUCCUUAUCCCAAGACUGUUACAUAUACACUGCUUGAAUCUUGUCUACAGCUCCUCUGUUCAUGUGAUCAGUACCCUGACCUGGUUGCCAUUCCAGUGAGAGGGGCUUGUCUGCACCCUCUUGUUGGCAGCUCCCAGCUAACAAGGGUAUUUCCAACAGGUCCCCUUGGCAGUGAGCACGACACCCACACAUUCUAUUUACGUCUACGUACACAUCCGAGUGUGUUUCCUGAGCCAGAGAAGACAUUACGCUGCCUAAUGUUGUUACCCAAAGAGUGAGAACAGAGGAUGUGUUGAUUGCAAGAUGAGUAAAACCUACCUGCUUUAGUCCUUCAUGUAUGUAUGUCUCACCUGCUGGUGUCACCUCCUCCAGAUCCUUUAGACCUUUCUUGAUUUUCUCUCUGCGAACGAAAAAAGGU